ensembl:lncRNA
CUGUGCCUCUGCUUUCAAGCCGCUGCAGCGUUUAUUUUAAAGCAAUGGAUUUUUCCAUUAUAGAAGCGGGUCAUUUAGGAUUUAAUUGAAUCCCAGCAUGCCUCCCUCUUGCAUAAUAGUGUGUAGCUGUUUGCUUGCACAACAAUCGGCUGAGUGGAAACCGAGGGAUCAAAGCGUCAGGCAACCGUUUCCCGACAAACUCAAGGAAGGACUUUUGUUUAUUUUCCCCCUUCACGGCAGUCAAUUGCUAACUGUGUUAUAAUGCAUUAAAGCUCUUCCGUGUGUCGUUUACCCAACGCGGACUGAGGUUUGAGAGAAAGCGGAGAUGGGAAACAGUGUGUUUAUGCAGUAGUUUACAGUCAGGGCAACAGUGACGGCAGUAAAACCAUGUGAUUGUCCUCAAGGGGAUAUUAUUGUGAUGCAUUGUUAGGUUGCCUUGCAGAAAGAAUCAAACAUGCUGCAACUGCACCAAACGUUACAUUCGCUGGGUGUCAACGGAGUUGUUUCCAUGUACUGUAAACGGGUGAGGCGGAUGAGGGUUACAGACGCAUUGCCUCACCCGAAGCCCAAGGCUAAGCUGCAAUGAGUUGGAAUGAGCCCAGAGAGGGAGGAAUCUCAACUACUGGGACACUCCUCCAGUUCAAACAUACACUUUUCCUUCAGGGCGGUGGGGCUGUUUUUUUUUUUUUUUAGGCAUAUGACCUGUUUCUAGUGUCUGUUUUCCCAUCAUGUCACAUUACUCGUUUUAAACCUAUAGACUAACACACUUCAUUUGAGGUUUGAUAGUGAGUUUAUUAAAAAAAAGGGAGAAAGAAAAAAAAAGGACUGGCUGAUUCAUUCCUGUGUAAUUUCAUUUAGUGGCAGCUUUGCAUGACUGACUGCUCAGUGCAUGUGGGCAGAGCUAUUUUCAUGCUGUAACCCCGAUCCAUUCAAGCUUACAGCGCACUGGCUGGAAAUCCCCACCUCAUGACAGAGCUUCCUGGUUACUGGCGAACAGAGGCGCCCUUUUUCUCUCUUUAGUCAGUGCGCGUUGAGUUCACGACGGCGGGCAGUAAAACCCUGAAAUAUUCCCAUUAAAAAAACGAACCUGCUGCUUUAACAUAACAUACAUUUCUAUAAGAUCCCUGCUGGAUUGACAGUUGUCGGACCCACCUCCUCCAUUGCACAGCGGCAAAGCAGCGCCGCGCGUUGAGAAAAACAAGCCGCAGCGCAUAACGCGCAGGACGGAGGACAAAGCGGCGGGUUACUGCGGGCGCUGGCGGCUCCCUCUCCCCCCGGUUUAAUUCAUCCCCCGGCGGUCUGCCGCCAAAAUCACGUUUUUCAUUAAAACAAAACAAAACCAAAAUAUUCUCGCUUGCACGAUCGCAGGUAUCUGCGGUGCCAUGUUUCCUUUUUGUUGUUGUUGCGGAUGGGUUAUUCCCUUCAGGCGGACGCGGCGGUGACGGCGAACUGGGUGCAGUUCUGGCCGAGGUUCAAGUGAUAAAAUAAAAAUAAAUAUUAAAAAAAGAAGUGAGUGACAGAGGCUGCGG